ACUAUCUACUGAAUUUUUUGCAGAUUUGUAAUACAAAGUUAAAAAUUUUAAACAUAAACGCAAGAUUUCCGGGAUCUGUGCACGAUUCUGCCAUUUGGCAGACAUCAUUGGUCAGAAGGCACUUAGUGAACAACUUUAGAGGAAAUGGUCGUCAAAUGACAUAUCUGUUAGGAGACGCAGGGUACCCCUUAGAGCCUUGGCUGUUAACACCAAUAGCUAAUCCAGUUACUAAUAGUGAAAGAGAAUACAAUCGCCGACAUAAAACAAUCCGAAAUAUCAUAGAAAGAACAAAUGGUCUAUUAAAACAAAGAUUUAGAUGCCUUCUCAAACAUCGAACCUUGCAUUAUGCUCCUGAGAGAGCAGCACAGAUUAUUUAUGCUGCUGCUAUCAUGCACAAUUUGUGUAUUGACAGGAAUGAAUAUUUAGGUGACAUAAAUGAUAAUUGUCAUGAAGAAGAAAAUAACAAUGAAGUAAACAAUAACAAUCAAAAUGCGGAUGAAGAAUUAGAUCUUCCUGAAAGAAACGUUUUACACCAAGGCCGUAUUGUAAGAAAUAGAGUAGUAGAAAAUUACUGUUUGUAAAAAAAAGUUAAGUUUUAUUCUUGUAUUUUUAUAAAAUUUACAAUAGCAUCAUCCAGCGCUUGG